UACGUAGGGGGCAAGCGUUGUCCGGAAUCAUUGGGCGUAAAGCGCGUGUAGGCGGCUCGGUAAGUCCGCUCUGAAAGUCCAGGGCUCAACCCUGGGAUGCGGGUGGAUACUGCCGGGCUCGAGUCCGGAAGAGGCGAGUGGAAUUCCCGGUGUAGCGGUGAAAUGCGCAGAUAUCGGGAGGAACACCAAUGGCGAAGGCAGCUCGCUGGGACGUGACUGACGCUGAGACGCGAAAGCGUGGGGAGCAACAGGG
rnacentral:rRNA from 1 species